AACGAACGCUGGCGGCAGGCCUAACACAUGCAAGUCGAGCGCGCCCUUCGGGGUGAGCGGCGGACGGGUGAGUAACGCGUGGGAACGUGCCCUUUUCUACGGAAUAGCCUCGGGAAACUGAGAGUAAUACCGUAUAUGCCCUUUGGGGGAAAGAUUUAUCGGAAAAGGAUCGGCCCGCGUUGGAUUAGGUAGUUGGUGGGGUAAUGGCCUACCAAGCCGACGAUCCAUAGCUGGUUUGAGAGGAUGAUCAGCCACACUGGGACUGAGACACGGCCCAGACUCCUACGGGAGGCAGCAGUGGGGAAUCUUAGACAAUGGGGGCAACCCUGAUCUAGCCAUGCCGCGUGAGUGAUGAAGGCCUUAGGGUUGUAAAGCUCUUUCAGCUGGGAAGAUAAUGACGGUGCCAGCAGAAGAAGCCCCGGCUAACUCCGUG
rnacentral:rRNA from 1 species